AGGAACAAAAGUAUAUUGUGCAAAUAAAUGAGCUGGAGGGAGAGUUCCAGAAAAAAGCCAAAGAAAUUGGCAUGAUUCAGACAGAGCUGAAAACAAUAAAACAAUUCCAGAAGAGAAAAAUCCAAGUGGAGAAAGAAUUAGAUGACGUAAGUUUCUUUCUUUCUUUAAACAUAGGAGAUUAGAGGGGCACCUGGGUGGCUUAGUCACUCAAGCAUCUGCCUUUUGGUUUUGGCUCAGGUCAUGAUCUCACGACUUUGUGGGUUCGAGCCCCACAUGGGGCUCUGUGCUAGCAGUGAGGGGCCUGCUUGGGAUUCUUUCUCUUUCUCUCUCUCUCUCUCUGUCUCCUCUCUGUCCCUUCCUCACUCGUGCUUUCUCUCUCUUAAAAUAAAUAAAUAAAUAAAUAAAUAAAUAAAUACUUUAAAAAAAGGAGAUUAGGAUUAACUACAAGCAUAAUUCAGAGAUAUUGCAGGUUUGGUUCCAGAGUGCCACAAUAAAGUGAAUGUCACAAUACUACACUUUUUUUUUUUUUUGGUCUUUUUAAGUAGGCUCCUUGCCCAACAUGAGGCUUGAACUCACAACUCUGAGAUUGAGAGUCCUAUGCUCUACUGACUGAGCCAGCCAGGUGCCCCUCACAAUACUAUACUUAUGUGUGCAAAAGCCUUCAUAGACAUUUACUCCUGUGAGAUGGUAAAGGACUCCCUUUGGCAUUUUAGAGAUUAUUUGAGAGAAAGUAGAAGACAUCAUGAGUGUAGCACUGGGUGCAAAAAAAGUCUUGGUUAGACUUUUCUAAGCAUUGAUUUCUUUGUAACUUCACCAAAUCUCAGCCAACACACCUGCUUUUAUCAGUAAUUAAACCUUUGGAGUCACUUCAAUAAGAAACACACUACAGUUCUUGGAAAACAGUAGGGGAAAACAAAGUAGAAAGUCCCAAAGGAAACUAGGUUGAGACUGAUGAGUGAUAAUUUUAGAACAUUUUAGAAGGUUCUCUGGGUAGGGGUAGGUGGGGUGAGGAAAACCGUACUUUCAGAAAGUUUCUCUGACUUCGCUAUGCUUUUUCUCUUUCCAUUCCCUCAGCUCGGAAUAUAGUUUUAUUGCAUUAAUAAUAAUGUAGUAAAUGGCACAGAUGAGUGUUGGGCAUAGUAGCAGAAAUCAGCUUUGUGACUUUGGGCAAGUUACUUAACCUCUCUAUACCUUGAUUUCCUGAUCUGUAAAAUGAGGAUAGUAUGAGUUCAUCAUAGGCUCAUAGGGUUGUUGUAAGGAUUAAAUGAGUUCAUAUAGUUACAGUGCUUAAAAUAGCAUUAUGUCAUAUAAGGGACAAUUAUAUUUACACUAGUAUGUAGCGCUCUGCAAACAGAAGUCCUGAUUUGUAGCAUUUGCUGGUUUCCUUGGUAUAAAUACUCUUAUUAUGGCCAAUUUCAAGCUACCAACACCUUACACAUGCUAACGACAUUCCUGGUGUGAGUCUGCUCCAAUGUGCAAUUAAAUACUGCUGCUGUUAUUAGUAAUAGCAGUAGCAUUACCGCUUAAGAUAACCAUAUUUCAUAUAGUGGAGGGGUUGAAAGUUGGUGCUCUAAAGUCACACUGCUAGAGUAUAAAUACUGUUUUCACUACUUGAAUAUUAUCUUGUUAAGCUUCUUCAUCUAAGCCAUGGAGCUGGGAAUAAUGGUACCAACUUUAAAGGGUCAUUGUGAAGACUAAAUGAAAUCAUCUGUUUUAACUGCUUAGCACUGGGUGGUAAAUAUUACCUGCUGUUGCUGUUUCUGCUGCUAGUAUUACUACUGCUAAAAUUAUGAUUAUAGAAAUUAGUAUUAUUUAAAUAUUAUUUAGUAUUAUUUAAGGCCCUUCCACCAUCCCUUUUGGCGCCUCUCAUUCUUGGUCAUGGUGUUCUCCAAGCAUGCAAUGUCUCUCAAGCAGUCUUUGGGCUCCCCAGAACCCUAUUGAGCAAGAACAAGGUCUGAUGGGAAACCAAAGUUCCUGCAUCCUAUUUCUGUUUACCUCCCAGCUAACUGCCAAAUUGCAAGGGUGUAUGAGAAAUGAAUAAGUCAGACAAGAUACUGUAGUGGUUGAAAUCAGGGACUUCAUGUCCUGGCUGUGCAGCUGAUAGCUAUGUGGCCCUUGGAUAGUCUGUUAACUUCUCUGAGUCUCAGAUUCUUCAUUUGUAAAAUGUGGCUAUAAUAUCAGGUGUCUCCUCUUAGAGAUGUUGUGUCGAUUAAAUAAAGUAAUGUGUGUAAAAUAUUUAGCAUAUUUAUUCCUACUAGUCUCCAGUAAGAGGAGUAACAUCAUAAUUGUUGAUAUUUACUUGUUAUGAUUAUAUAGCUUUAAAAAUCGUAAUAGAGUACUCUUAAAAGCUCUAAUUAAAGGAAUGAGUUGGCACAUUUUAGGCAAAGUGGGAAAGUCUAAGACACUUUCUUAAAUUGGAGGAAUGUAUAGGAAAGUGUUUUAACUCUUUCUGUCAUAAUUGCAAAGUUAUCUCCCAACCUCCCUGCCUGGCUGACUUUGUGAACUUGAUUGCCUGUUGCUUUACAACUGUCGUUCUGUUACUUUAAAAUUGUUCUUAAUUUCAGUGGCUCAUCUUUAUACAAGCUCCUGUGCAGUAUUUUCUGAGGAACUCUCUCCUUCUAUGUGUUUCCAGACCUUUAAAGUCCUUAAGGGGAACCAGCGUGGCUCAGUCCGUUAAACAUCUGAUUUGAUCUUAGAUCCAUGCGUUGGGCUCCGUGCUGACAGCAAGGAGCCUGCUUGGGUUUCUCUCUUUCCCUCUCUCUUUGCCCCUCUCCCACCUGGUCUCUUUCUCUCUUUCUCAGAACAAAACAAAACACAACAAAAACAACAACAAUAACAAACCACAUUAAAGUCCUUAAAAUAGCAGUUAUAUAACUGUCUUCUCUAGUUAUUUUAUGUUUGUAUUGUUCAUUAGUUUUGUAAACUGAGGAGAAUAAAAGGAGCCAGAUCCUCUACUUGUGAAUGUCUUUGUCACUCCUCACUAGUCGCUAGACUGGUACUUACUAAUAAAAUUUGCUAAGUGAGUGAUAUAAGACAACCAUCUAAAAUGAAAUCCUUUCAUGGAAUUCAUAGAAUCUUAGAGCUGAAAGAAACUUUAGGGCCAAUUUAAGCCAUUCUAUAGAUAAGCAAAACUGAGACACAAAGAUGUUAAGUGACUUUCAUGGUAACUUGUAGAGCUGGUAGCAGAACCCUGUUGAUCUGAAUCCCUGCCCAGUACUUCUAGUCGUGCGCUCUCUAUUUCUUCACCUGCAUUAGUUACCUAUUAUUGAAGAAAAAUUACCCUCAAAUCUAGCAGCUUAAAACUACACUAAACAUUUGUUAAAAACAUAAUUCCCGUGGGUCAAGAAUUUGGGAGCAGUUUGGGGCACCUGGCUGGCUCCAUAGAGCAUGUGACUCUUGAUUUCAGGGUCAUGAGUUCAAGCCGCACGUUGGGUGUGGAGCCUACUUAAAAAAAAAAAAAAAAGAAUUUGGGAGCAGGUUAACUGGGAAAUUCUGGCUCAGGGUCUUCCAUGAAGUUACAGUCUAGGUAUCAGCUAGGGCUGCAGUCAUCUGGAGGCUUGAUUAGAGCUUCAGGAUCUGUUUCCGGGUGCCAACUAACAUACUGUCAAGUUGGGACUAGUAAUUACUGGGAGGCCUCAGCAUCUUCCCACAUGGGCCUUUCAAUGACUUUACCCAAAGUGAAUAAUCCCAAAGAAAGCCAGACAGAAGCUAUCCCUUUCUUGACUUAGGCUUGGAAAUUGUACAGCAUUACUUCUGUCAUAUUCUAUUAGUUAGGAGUGAAUCCCUAACUCUGGCCCACAUUCUACGGAUGGAGAAUUAGGUUCCAUCAUUUGAAGGGAGGACCAUCAAAGAAGUUGUGGAUGUAUUUUAAAACCACCACAUCAUCACAGUCCAAAGUAUGCACCAAUACGGAAAUGUUCUGAUUAACUCCCUGAAGAAUCUUCUUUAGUAUUUCUCUUUUGUAAACCCAGUAUUGUCCAGAUGCCUUGAUGUGAAAGUCAAGACCCAACACCUAUUUUGAAACAUUAUUUUCUCCUUUUACUUCCUCAUGCACACCCCCUUUAAUUCAUCCAAACUGGAUAUUUACUCAUCCCUGAAGUCUUUUUGCCAUAUUUUUUAAAGUUCAUUUUUGUUUAUUUUGAGAGAGAGAGUGAGCAAAUGGUGGAGGGGCAGAGAGAGAGGGAGAGAAAGAAUCCCAAGCAGGCUCUGUGUUGUCAGCACAGAGCACAAUGUGGGGCUCGAUCUCACAAUCCAUGAGAUCAUGACCUAAGCGGAAAUCAGGAAUUGAACGCUUAAUGGACUGAACCAGGCACCCCCUUUCUGCCAUUUUUUUCGUAGUUCAAACUGUUUCUUCUAUCCAGAAUAUACUCCCAAUAGAUCUCUAUCCAUUAAAAUUUUACCGAUUCUUCAAAGGCUCAGCUCAAAUGCAUAUCCUCCAUAAGGCUGUCCCCCAGAGUCAUGUUUAAAAGUCAUAAUUUUAGGGGCACCUGGGUGGCUCAGUCGGUUAAGGUCUGACUUCAGCUCAGGUCAUGAUCUCACAGUUUGUGGGUUUGAGCCCCGUGUCGGGCUAUGUGCUGACAGCUUAGAGCCUGGAGUCUGCUUCAGAUUCUGUCUCCCUCUCUCUCUGCCCCUGUCCCACUCAUGCUCUGUCUCUCUCUCUCUCUUUCUCAAAAAUAAACAUUAAAAUUUUUAAAAAAUAAAUCAAAGUAAUAAUUUUCUAUGAAAAAAAGUAUUGAUUUUCUUCCAUUUGUGACAGCUUGGAUGAAACUUGAGGGUGUUAUGUUAAAUGAAAAAAAUCAGAAAGAUAAACAUUAUAUGAUAUCCCUUAUAUGUGGAAUCUAAAAAAGAGCUGAACUCGAGCAACAGAGUAGAGGUUACCCAAGCUGGGAGGGAGGAGGAUAUAAGGAGAUAUUGGUCAAAGGAUACAAACUUCCAGUUAUAAGAUUGACAAGUUCUGGGGAUUCUAAUGUAUAGUAUGGUGAUGAUAGCUAAUAAUCCUGUAUUAUAUACUUGAAAGUUGCUAAGAGAAUAAAUCUUAAAUGUUCUUACUACAAAAAAGAAAUGGUAAUUAUGUGACAAUAUGGAGGUGUUAGCUCAUUAUUUAUUUAUUUAUUUGUUUAUUUAUUUAUUUAUUUAUUAUUUAUACCAUGUUAUAUGUUAUACCAUUUUAUAUGUCAAUUUUAUCUCAUCAAGCUGGAAAAAAGAAAAAAGAUUAUUAGCAAAAAAAAGUAAUACUUUGUGUGUUUUCAUAGCAUUUUUUAUCUCUUUUAUACCACUUAGCUCAUUUACCUUGACAUAUUCAUUAUUUGCCUUAUCUCCCCUGCUAGUUACAAAUUCUUUGAGGCAUGAACACCAUUGUUCAUUUGUAUUCACCAAACACAAGAUAACACAGUAAUGCUCAAUAAAUCUUUGUUAAAUUCUGAGUAGGUCUUUUCAUUAAAAAAAUGUAAUUGAAGAUUGGGGCACCUGGGUGGUACAGUCGGUUAAGUGUUCGACUCUUGGUUUUGGCUCAGGUCAUGAUCUCACAGAUUGUGAAUUCAAGCCCCACAUCAUGCUCUGUGCUGACAUGUGGAGCCUGCUUGGGGUUCUCUCUCUCUCUCUCUCUCUCUCUCUCUCUGCCCCUCCGGCUUGAGCUCUCUCUCUCAAAAUAAAUAAAGUUAAAGAAUGUAAUUGAAGAAAUAUCAAGUUUUCUACUAACUAGAUGGGAGGAAUCCUUUCAUAAUGUAUAUGUAUAUUAAAUCAUUGCAAUAUAUACUCAAAAUACUUUACAAUUAAUAAUUUCCCAAAAAAAGCUUAAAAUUUUCUAGAAGGAAUAUCAAAUUUUUUAAUAUGAAAAUACUGAAGAUUGAAUCAAUUUAAGAUUGGUAACUUUUUAGGAACUCUCACAAUAGCUAUCUUAAGUAUAGGUAUACAAUCUGAAUCACAAUGAAUUAACUAGUGGGUAUUCUAGAGGUAUGAUUUCUUUUUUUUAAGAACAAUAUUGCCACCUAAUGGAGAAAUAGAUUUUGGACUUUUCAAAAGGGACAUGGGCCAGGAAGACUUAAAAUUCAGGCAAAAGGUACUGGUUUGUGGGAAAAAAUAAGGUGGUUCUCUGGAAUCCAAAAUAUGGAAGAUUUACGGCAGGUGUAGAGGCCCGUGAACUUAAAAUGAGGGGAGUAUAUAGAUAAAGGAAGAAAAUUAAUUAUACUGUGUAUAUGGAAUUCACUAUACAAAUGAAAAGAGGCUAGUUAAACUUAGAUUAUCAAAAAAUAUUCAAAGCAUAAAUUUUAAAGAAAAAAAUGAUUUCUAUCUAUGUAAUUAACAGAAGGAGCAUACAUUGGUAGGUUGCAGUUAUGUUAAAAUAAUUUGUUUUAGUCUAUCUUCUUUUGACAGUGGUAAUACCCAUUGCAGCAAAUUUAGCUGAUAAAAAAGAAGAAAAUUAAAAGCCCUCUCCUCACAGUUAUACUACCUAGAGAUAACCAUUAAAUAUUUUGGUCUAUUUUCUUUCUCUUUUUCUUCCUCUAUGUAGAGACGUUUAAAAAUACAUGGCAUUUUAGAGGGCGCCUGGGAGGCUCAGAUUGUUAAGCAUCCGACUCUUGAUUUCAGCUCAAGUCAUGAUCCUGGGGUUGUAGGAUCGAACCCCGUGUCCGACUCCAUGCUGAGCAUGGAGCCUACUUAAGAUUCUGUCUUUCUCCUUCUGCCUUUCUCCCCCAUCUGCCUUUCUCUCCCUCUCUUCUGCCUUUCUUUCCCUAUGCUCCCCCUCUUCUCUUUCUCUCUCUCUCUCUCUCUCUCUCAAAUAAAUAAAUAAAUAAAUAAAAGCCAUCUUUCAAAUAUAUAUAUAUAUAUAUGCUAUUUUUUAAAAAAUGAGGUUAUUAUGUACAAACUGUUACCCUGACUUUUUCACUUUUAUUGUGAACAUUUUUCAAUGCCAUUACAUAUUUUUCUUUUUUCUUUUUUUUUAAAAAGGUACUGUUUUUUAAAGUUUAUAUUUAUUUUGAGAGAGAGAGAGACAGAGAGACAGAGAGAGAGGGAGAGAGAAUCCCAAGGAGACUCCAUGCUGUCAGCGCAGAGCCAGAUGGGGGGCUCAGUCCCACAAGCUGUGAGAUCAUGACCUGAGCCGAAACCAAGAGUCAGACACUUAACUGAGUGAGCCACCCAGGUACCCCUCAAUGCCAUUACAUAUUUUUCCAUAAAAUCUUUUGACUAGUCGAGGCAUAUGUAUCAUGAUUUAUUAGGUAAGAUGUAUCAUGGGUAGAUGUAUCAUGAUUUAUUAAUUAGUCCCUCAUUGUUAGACAUCUGAACUUUUUUCUAAUUUUCCACUAUUAUAAACUGAUGAACACCUAGGUAACAAAAUGUUUUUCUACAUCUGUAAUUAGUAUUUAGGAUAACUUCUCUGAGGUGGAAUUUGUAGGUUAAAGAACAUAAACUUUUAAAGGUUUUUGAUAGGGGCCACCUGGGUGGCUCAGUCAGUUAAACAUCUGAUUCUUGAGUUUGGACCAAGGUGGACCCUGUGUCUGCCCUGGGUCAGGCUUCGUGCUGAGCAGAGCCUGCUUGGGAUUCUCUCUCUCACUUCUCUCUCUCCCUCCCUUGCUCAUGUGCUCAUGUUUGCUCUCUCUCUCUCUCUCAAAAAAAAAAAACAACUUAAAAAAGAUUAAAAAAAAUUUUUUUUGAGAGAGAGAGAGAGAGAGAGACAGAGAGAGAGCAAAGCAGGGGAGGAUCAGAGAGAGAGGGGGACAGUGGAUCCAAAGUGGGCUCUGUGCUGACAGCAGUCAGCCUGAUGCAGGGCUCAAACUCAAGAAUCACAAGAUCAUGACCUGAGCUGGUCAGUCGCUUAAACAACUGAGCCACCCAGGCACCCCAAAAAGAACAGUUUUUGGUAGGCAUUACCUAAUUAUCUUUAGAAACAUUUGUUAAUUUAUGGAUUUUGAAAGGUCCAUCUUCCCACACACUAAGAUGAUAGACAUUUCCAUAAACUUAAUGUACACUGACAUUAAUUUUCAGUCUUUAAUGAUAUCAGAAGCCAUUUUUAAAAAAAAUGUAUGAAAAAUACAGAGAGAAAGAAUAUCUGAAUGAGAUCAUAUAAAAUGGAGAUUUAGUACACUUGGGACAGAGAUCACAGGAUAAUUAUUAAGUAUAAGGGAGGACAAUAGUAGAUAUAAUAACUAGCUGGUAUAUUAAAUGGUUACUAUUCUAGCUAGGUACUUUACAUGUAUCGUUUGUUAUUUAAUCCUGGCCACACCCUAUGAGCUAGUUACUAUUAUUAUUCUCUUCUUAUUCCUGGAAACCUGAGACUUAGAGAAGUGAUUUGCCCAGAGUCAAACAGUUGUCUCAUGGGACACUCUACUGCCUUUUUUAUGGAUUAGAUGGAGUAUGCUUAUUUCAGCCUGACUGAUUGCCAGUAAAUGUAGACUACAAUAUAGCUUUAAAUUAGCUUACUUUUCUUUGCCUAGAAGAGUUUUAUGUCCUUUUUAUUCCAUGUAUACAUGUUUUUAGGACAGAAGGAUCCAUCUAUGAGAAUCAUAGGGAGAUGUAUUUUAGAUUAAUACUAGGGAGAAUUUUCUAAAAAUGGGAACUAUGAAAGGCUAGUCUAAUGAAUUAAUGACAUUUGAAUUUGUGAUACUUCUGUCUCUAGAUAUUUUUCUCAUAGAAAGAAUCCUAUAUUAAGUGGGAGAUUGUCUGGUGUGACUUUUAAGGUCCCUUUCAAUUCUAAAAUAUUGUGCUUUUAAAGUGUAAUCUCUACACCCAACGUGGGACCUGAACUCCUGAGAUCAAGAGUCACACACUCCUCCAACUGAGCCAGCCAGGUGCCCCAAUUCUAAAAUAUUAUGAUUCUAUGAGUCUACAUGUUUAAAUGAAGAUAUUUGGCAAAUAUGAUUAUGAGAACAACUUGUCUGUUCUGGGAACUGUUGUUCAUGAAUAACUUUUUAGAAACUCAAUACUGAUCUUUAAGUCUAUAGACGAUUGGUGGGAAAUAUGGUACUCACGGGUAGGGACAUGGAAUUUUCCUGUGUGUUCAGGAUUAAGAAAUAAUGUAUAACAGAAAAUGUUUUUUUAUUGAGAAUUUUCCAGGAAUGUGCCUCAGUCACCCUCAUUUCCUAUUGAUCUUUUUUUUUCUUUUGUUAUUGUAAUUAUAGCUCAAGGAGAAUUUAAGGAACAUGGAGCGGAAACAUCAGGAGACUCUUAGAAGAUUGGAGGGCAAGUUUUUUGAAGAAAAGGUACAACACUUUAGUGUUAAUUAAGAAAUAUUUUGUUUUUAAAAAGAAGAAAUAUUUUUACUAAAACAUUAUAAGUAUCUAUAUGCACUCUGAGACAUGUCAACCUUUCUUUUGGUAUCUUAUUAGAGGAUUGUUUAUCAAAUGACAGCAGAUAAAAAAAAUAGGGAAAAUGAAACCUGUUCUAGAUAUCUCAGUGUCUAGUCAGUUAAAGAUUCUUGAAAUCCUAAAGAGGGAUUGUUAUCUUACCGAAGCUUCAGGACACAGUCCCUUCAGCUUGGUGUUCCCCUAGUGGAAGGAAAGCUGCAUGUAGCACAUUAUAUAGGGGGAUGAGAUGGGAGAGGUCAUUCUGGUACACAUGAAGGUGUUUCCUUAGUCAAGCCAAGCUAAGCUAAGGGUGUUAAUAAAAAGGGGGCUCAAAAAUGUUCCUUAGCAUAUUACAAACUUGUACAUUUCUCUGUGCCUCUGACAUUAAUUCUCCAAAUUGUGGGAAGUGCAUUGGAACACUUCUUUGCGAGCUUUUCAGAGGACCCAUGGUUUUUCUUUAAGUCUUCUAAACUUUCCUUUAACUGUUCAUUCUUAGGGAAGAAUUGAACAGAUUUCUUUCAGAAACUGUAGGGAUGUAGGAAGUUGAGGGUGGGGCAAAUAAGUACUCAUAUCAGGUUUAGAUAAAAAAUUUGCCGUAAAAAGUGGCUCUAGAUUUCCCAUUUCUGUAUUAAAUAACCUAGGAAUGGGGCAGGAGCAGCAUCUUGGUGCUUUCCUUCUCAGGCACUUCCUGGCACUGUUAGGAGUGGAAGUCCUCAGGAAUGGGCUGCUCUCACUUGCGUUUUUCCCUCUAUCCCACCCCCUAAGCUUGUUUGUUCUCUUCUCUGCUAAGUGCAGCAUUUCCACAAACAAAGGUUAGGAGCGCUUCGUCAGAUUGCAGCAUACAUGUCUGACAGUGCCUAUAUAAAUAGGAUUUUUAUGUCUGGAAGUAGGUGGCUGCUGGCCUUUCCCUCAUAGUUGCAAGAUGGUUAAUGCAGCUCUAAGAUUUGUCUGUGUUUAAGGCAGGAAGAAGGGAAAGCUUUCCCAGAAGCUCUUAGCAGAUUUUGUCUUACAUCUAUCUCAUUGGUCAGAGCCAUGUUAUAUGGGAUGCUGGGAAAGUAAGUGUUUUUUUCCAGACACUAGUGAAAGCUGGAAAGGGAGGAUGGGAAUGAGUAUUGGGAUGGCCAGCCACAGCAGUAGCUGUCUCACUAUGUUCGGUGUAAACUUCAUGGUUAGGUACGAACUCCUGUGCUGGUUUGAACCCCAGUGCUGCUGGUUUAUGGCAGAGGGCUUUCCGGUAAGCCCUGUUUAUUCGUCUCUUACUAUAGUAUGCUCCACCUGGUCAUAUAAAGGACAUCCCUCAGGUUAUAGGUGUUUUGUUUCCCUAUUUAAUCCUUUCUGUUCCUUGAACCACCAAGCCCUUUCCCAAUGACAUAUUUUUGUACUUGGUGUUCCUUUCUGGAAUGUUCUUCCUCCAGCUCUGGCUCUUCUCAUUCUUAGGAGCUCAAAUGUCAUUUCCUCAGAAAUCGAUUCCUUAAACCCCAAUCUAACAUAAUCUCCCCCAGUUACUAUCUAUCUCAUUACUCCAUUUAUUACAUUCACAGCAUUCAUCACAGUUUAAUUCUCUCAUUUGUUUGCUUGUUAGGGAGCAAACAAGCAUCACAUUGCCUGCAUAUGAAUCUCUGCUCUGCCACUUACCAGCUAUCUGACAUUGGGCAAGUCACUAACCUCUCUUUCCCUGUUUCCUCAGUCCUUGUUUUUGGUGAUAAUAAUAGUGUCUAAUUUUGAGGGUUGUUGUGAUAGGUAAAUAAUACACAUAAAGCUCUUAGAACCAUGCCUGGCACGUGGUAAAAGCUCAGUGCACUUUAAUUAUUAUCGUUGUUUGGAUCUCACCUAGAAUACAAGGUCUGUCAGAACAGGGACCUUAUCUGUUUUUUUCACCACAGAAUCUCCAGCAUCUAAAAAAUCUGAUACAAUACUAAUGCUCAAUAGGGAUUUGUUGUAUAAAUAAAUGACUCUAACCACAUUGUAUUUAGCAGAAAUUUAUCCAAGCUCCACUUUCCAAUAUUGAUGUGGACUUUUUUUUUCUAUUUAUGUGUCAUAUUGCUUCUUUUUUUUUUUUUUCCAACGUUUAUUUAUUUUUGGGACAGAGAGAGACAGAGCAUGAACGGGGGAGGGGCAGAGAGAGAGGGAGACACAGAAUUGGAACCAGGCUCCGGGCUCUGAGCCAUCAGCCCAGAGCCCGACGCGGGGCUCAAACUCACGGACCGUGAGAUCGUGACCUGGCCAAAGUCGGACGCUUAACCGACUGCGCCACCCAGGCGCCCCGCAUAUUGCUUCUUUAAUGGGGAGAUCAGAUGGUACCCUGAGGUUGCUGUGUUCACACUAUCCUCUUUGCUAGCUAUUCCACCAGUACUUGGAGUUCUUCACACUAGGUCAUGUGGACAGGAGUAUUUUGUUUGACAUUAUAAAAUAAAUACUUCACUUUUCGAUGUGUAAAUUUGUUAGAAAUAUAACUCUAUUAAAAUAGCCUACAGGCACCUGGGUGGCUCAGUUCGUUAAGCAUCUGACUCUUGAUUUCGGCUUAGGUCAUGAUCUCACAGUUAGUGAGAUUGAGCCCCUUGUUGGGCUCUGCCCUGACAGCUGAAGGCCUGUCCUUUCUCUCUCUUGCUGCCACCACCCCCAAAAUAAAUAAAUAAACUUAAAAAAAAAAAGUCUGUUUUCUUUUUUAGCAUCGACUAGAACAAGAGGCUGAAAAGAAGAUAAUAAUGUUGGCAGAGAGAGCUCACCAUGAAGCUAUCGCGUAAGAGACUGCUGCCUCCUUUUUCUUUUUCAUAGCUUCUCUUAUCUCUUUGCUGGUCUGUUUUGUUCUCAUCAUAUUGUCUUCUCCCUUCUCUCUUGGUUUCCUUUCUUCAAAUUUUCUUGUUUACUUUCCCUCGUUAUUUCUUUCUCUUUGUGUCCCUGCCCCCUUUUCACCCACCCUUUCUGCAGCAAGGUGGUGUGGAGGAAAUAACCCUGGCUUUGAAGUUAGACUUUGGUUCUCAACAUGUAUACCGACAUGACUGACUGUUGGAAAAUUUCCUAACCUUUUUGAAAUUAAAUUUCUUCAUCUAAAAACGGGUUAAUCAUAGCAACUGUAUAAAGUUGUCAUGAGGUAUGUUAGUGAAAAUAACAUUUAAUUGUGUUAGUAAAUUCCGAAGUCUCAAUGGUUUAGUUCUUGCUCGCUUAACAAUCCAGUAUAAGUCUGAUAGCUCUACUUGAGUGGUGAUUCGGGAACUGGGGCUGCUUCUAUCUUGGACUUCUUCCAUCCAGUCAUAUGGACAGGAGAGAGCAUGGGAAACCUGUCUGCUCCUAACUGCCUUGGACUGGAAGUAACACGUAACUUUUCACUUUCCAUUGGUGAAAACUUAGUCACAUCCCCACCUCUUUUGAGUCCCUACCAUAAACUAAAUACGUCGUGGUCAUUAUUUUUAAUGUUGGGGGAUAAGGCAGUCAUUGUUCUAGUUUGGUAAUAUCUAAAACUUAACACCUGUGUUUUGGGAUCAUAUAUCUAUCUAUUUCAGGCAACUGAACCAUGCUGGAAGAGCCGUUUUUAAAGAGAAUGUUUAUCUCCAGAAAGCCCUCGCAUACCACCUGAAGGAAGCUGAUGCUCUACAAAAAAACUCCCAGAAGUUGCAAGAGACUCAAACUUUCCUUUUACAUCAGAAGGUUCCCACUCCAUUUGGACUUUCUGGUUUUUUUGUUUGUUUGUUCGUUCGUUUAUUUAAGGAUUGGGUUGGUAAAUAUGAAGAAUUGAGUAUAAUAAUGAUACAUGAGGACUUUGGGACCAUUUUUAUUUUGUCUGGAUGAUGUACCUUUCUUAUUUGAAAGGAUUAAUUAUGCGAAUGACAUAAGAAGUAUUUGACUUGGGAUGCCUCAGUGGCUCAGUCAGUUAAAAAGUCCAGCUCCUGAUUUCGGCUCAGGUCAUGAUCUCACAGUUUGUGGGUUCAAGCCCCACAUCAGGCUCUGUGCUGAUAGCACGGAGCCUGCUUGGGAUUCUCUGCCUCCCUCCCUCUCUCUCUCUGCCCCUCCCUGAGCAUGUGCUCUCUCUCUAUCUCUCUCAAAAAUAAAUAAAUAAAUAAACAUAAAAAAAGAAGUAUUUGACUUGGCUUUAUAAAGAAUAUAUCAGAAACAUAAAUGUAAAUCCUAUCCUCGACUACCUUAGAAUACUCAUUUUACUUUGCUUAGAGUUGGUCUCUGAAUUACUGGUUCGGAAUAGGUUCAGCUGUAACAGCCCCGACAACAGUGGCUUUACCAUGUAAGGGUUUAUUCUCUCCUCUAAAUGAAGUCUGGAGGUUAGCAAUCCAGAGCUGGAAGGGUAGUGCCACAAAGUCAACAGAGACUCAGUUUCCUUAACUCUGCUGGGCAACGUAUGGCUUACAUCCCCAGUUACUUCAUGGCCCAAAGCAGUUGCUAGAUCUCUAACCAUUACCCAGAAAGCAGGAAGGAAGAAGGACAGGAAGGAAAAAUUAUGCCCCCCCUCCCCUUUAGAAGUCUUCCUGGAAGUCCUGCAAACACUUCUACUUACAUUUCAUUGACCAGAACUUAGUUACAUAGCUUUGCUGAACUGCAAGGGAGACUGCGAAUUUUCAAUUGGGCUUCCUGCCUUCCUGAAAAAAAAAAAAAAAAAUGGAGUUUUAUUACUAAGGAGGAAAGGGAAAAUGGAAAAGGGAUAGGCCACUAGCCUAUAGGCUAGGAUAGGAAACAUUUUCCAGUAUAUAGUUGUUAAUGUUUUACUGUAUAAUCUUACUGAUUUUGAAAUUACCCAUUUCAAUAAUAUAAAAUAUUUAAACUAUUGGAAUUUUAGAGAAAGGAAAGUUUCUUAAUCAGCAAAAUUAGUGGCCUUCACAAGUCCAGAGAAGAACCCUGAGAUGUUUUUUCUCUCGGUACACAGAAUACCAAAUAUCAUCAUCUCAACUUGGUAUCAAAUUUAAGCUAAUGAUGUAAUGGAAAUUAGUGAGGAACUUUUAAGUUUUGAAAUUGAUUAAAGAAAAUCAACUCUCUCAUCUUUGUUUUUAGGAAAUCAAUGAUCUGUUGGUUAAGGAAAAGAUAAUGCAGUUUACCCAGCAGAGAUUACAAAUCCAAACUCUUCAGAAAAAGGUGGUAAGCUUGGAGACUGCCCUGAGUUGUAUGACCAGAGAGUUUGAGGCUGAAGUUCUAAAAAUGCAGCAACAGGCAAUGAUAGAGAACCAAGCAGGUCAGGUUGAAAUUGACAAGCUGCAACAUCUUCUCCAGAUGAAGGACAGGGAAAUGAAUCGAGUGAAGAAGCUGGCCAAGAACAUACUGGAUGAGAGAACAGAAGUGGAAAGUUUCUUUUUAGAUGCUCUGCACCAAGUGAAGCAACAGAUCCUACUUGGCAGGAAGCAUUACAAAAAGGUAGCACAAGCUGCUUUCAAUUUUAAAAUGAGAGAGGCAUGUGCAGGAAGAACAGAAUAUCCCCAGAUCCGAACGUUCGAUGGCAAAGAGCACAGCACCAAUAGCGUAACUCAAGAUCUUAUGGAGGCUGAGAAAUGGUACUAAUCAUGGCUUUAAUAUUUUAUCCUUUGUGCAGCUAUUUUUGUGCCCUUUAGAGAAAUAAGCACUCUGAGGAGUUCAGUUACAUUAUAUCUAACUAUUGAAUAGAUUACUCACUAAGUUACUCGAAGAUAGGAACUGUCUUACCUGUCUUUAUAACCCCUGUGCUUAGCACUGUGUGUGGGGCUUAGUAGGUAUUCUUAGUAGAUUUCCUUUUUUCAAGACAGAGACUUAUUAAAGAGACUAGAUCAUUUGUUCCAUAGAAUGUCAUUGUAGUAUCUUUGAACAUGUUCCUUUAUUUUCUUUUCUGUAAAUUCAUUAUAAAGGUGUGAUCAGAUUCAGGUUAAACAUUUUUGAUAAGCUUACUUUCACAAAUAUUUUGUAACAUUCCUUUUACUGAGAUGAAAUUCAUAGAUAAUAUCUAACUAAACAUAUAAUUUAAGAAAUCAAUAUAACAGUUCUUUGUAAUAAUUCUUUGUUGCACAGAACUGUUCUAUGAGUUGGAGGACAUCCAGGAGUGGGACCCCAUCAUUGUACUAACCAAAAGUCCUUGCAAGUUUCCAAAAUACAUGCUACAGAUCUACUGCCACCAUAAUAAAGGUAGCAGGAUGCUUGAGACAGUUGUAGACUUUAUACAAUGACUGUUCCCUGUUAGCAUUUCUGUCUGUCAGUGCACUCUUAACUCCUAUGAACCAUAAAUUAGAGUGCAUUUUAAAGAUUAUUCUGAAAAAAAAAAAGUUUUAUCUCCCAGUGCAAUUAGGUUCUUCAAAGGCCUUAGCUUGAGAAACUUAAAAGGACUCCCUACUACUAUGUACUGAACACCUUAUUAACAGUGCUUCCAAAUGUGUUUUCUGAUUUAUUUUUUAAUGGAUUAAUUAGUAGGUUCUUUUAAACUAUGUAUCUGUUGGGAAGGUUGGACAUGGUCAGUGGCUUUUGAAAGAUAAGACUGUUUUCUUCAAAAUGUCCAUACCAUAAUGUUUUAAAACCUUUUUGCCAUAUUUAGAAGUCUAUUACUUGUAUUACCAGUAAUUUCUUUGUAUUUUCCUCUUUUUAAAAAAAUUUUAUUUGAGGGGCACCUGGGUGGCUCAGUCGGUUGAGCGUCCGACUUCAGCUCAGGUCAUGAUCUCACAGUCUAUGAGUUCGAGCCCCGCAUGGGGCUCUGUGCUGAUGGCUCAGAGCUUGGAGCCUGCUUCGGAUUCUGUGUUUCCCUCUCUCUCUGCCCCUCCCCUGCUCAUGCUCUGUCUCUCUCUGUCUCAAAAAUAAAUAAAAACAUUAAGAAAAAAAAUUAAAAAAAUUUUAUUUGAGAGAGAGAGAGAGCAUGCGAGUGGGGGAGAGGGAGAGAAAGAGAGAGAGAGAGAGAGAGAGAAAGAGAGAGAGAAUCUUAAGCAAGCUCACGCUUAGCACAGAGCCUGAUGUGGGGCUUGAUCACACGACCCUGGGAUCAUGACCUGAACUGAAAUCAAGAGCUGGAUGCUCAACCAACUGAACCACCCCGGUGCCCUGUCCUCUUUUUAAUUUAAAUUUAAUGUUUUUUUUUAACGUUUAUUUAUUUUUGGGACAGAGAGAGACAGAGCAUGAACGGGGGAGGGGCAGAGAGAGAGGGAGGCACAGAAUCGGAAGCAGGCUCCAGGCUCUAAGCCAUCAGCCCAGAGCCUGACGCGGGGCUCGAACUCACGGAGUGUGAGAUCGUGACCUGAGCUGAAGUCGGACGCUUAACCGACUGAGCCACCCAGGCGCCCCAUGUCCUUUUUUUAAUUUAAUACGUCAAGCAAGUUGAGUCCCUAGCAUACAUAUGCCAGUCUAUUUUACAUUUUUUUGUCUGCAAAGUGGUAUUUCAGAGAGAGGUAUAUAAAAUGAUUCUCCACAUUGUUAUUGCAGAAACUGGACUCUUCCUCUUCUGCCCUGUGUGACAUUUUUGCUACUGAACAACUUCUCACCUUAACCUCAGUGUUCUAUUGCCUGUACCAGCAGGGCAGAAAUGGUGAUUAAAAUAUUACAUCAUCUGCUUAAGAGGCAGAUUGGGGAAGGACAAUUUAAGUAUAGGGUGAUCAUAAGGCAAAACCUAAACUUUUAAAGAAAACUAACCCAACUGAUGUAUAUGCAAAAACAUUUCUUACAUUGUGAAACACAGUACUCUCUACAGUGUCAGCCAGCUUUCAUAAAUAGUAAAUAGACUACAAAUCUUCUGGGAAAGUUAUAGUAUAGCCAAAGACCUGCCUGGAAAGCUUAGCUGCAGCCUUAUUUGGAAGUAGGUAAAUAGACUAGAUAAGUUACGUGUUAUUUUCCAAACGUACCUCUUGUCACUCUGUUUUCAUAGCAAAAUAUCUUAUACAAAAAGAAAUGUUAAAAGGAAUUUAUCAAUAAUCUCACCUUGUAAACAACCAGUUUUUGUUGUAUUGUUCCUUUUCUUUUUGUAUCUGGAUGCAUAAUGUUAUAUUACAACUUUUUGCCCUUUUGCUUAAUGUUUGAGCACACAUUUUUUUGUGUUAUAGUUUUUCUUAUUUUUAUCGUAAAGACUACAUAGCAUUUCAGAAUGGCUAGCAUAUUGAUAUCCUCUUCAACUUCAUGAUUUUGUAAUGGACACAGUUUGCUUUGUAGUCAUUAUAUUUGGAAACCUCAUAAUAGUUAUGGUUUGGAAAUUUUCUUUUCUCAUAUUUACAUAUUUUAAAUUUUGAAAAGGAGAGAUGCUUACUUUGGCCAUUUUGCCUUUGAAAUUCUUCAGGACGGAUAUUCAAGGAAAUGUGGAUAUUGAAGAUUUGACCUGGGAGCAAAAGGAGAAAGUCUUGCGAUUGCUCUUUGCAAAAAUGAAUGGUUUUGUUUCCAGGUAACUCCUGUUUCUGUAGUGAAAUACCAAGGUGUUACCAAACCUAGAAACCAUAUAGGAAGAAUGAACUUAUUCUCACUUAGAAUUAAAGGAAUGGGAAAGGAUCAGAAAAUGGAAAAGGGUCAUGCCGCUUAGCACCUGUCACUCCCAGAGAUGAAUGAUGGGAGAUGAAUGAAUGAGCACAGAAAUGAAAGAUUUAUUAAAGGGGGGAGAAAAGAGACUGAUCUUAGAUGUUUAAGGUAAUGCUUGCUAGGAAGGUACAGCAUUGUUCAGCUGAAUGAGUGGUCACUGAAGAGAAGCAAAAUAAUUAUUUUUUUUUUAAUUUUUUUUUUCAACGUUUAUUUAUUUUUGGGACAGAGAGAGACAGAGCAUGAACAGGGGAGGGGCAGAGAGAGAGGGAGACACAGAAUCGGAAACAGGCUCCAGGCUCUGAGCCAUCAGCCCAGAGCCUGACACGGGGCUCGAACUCACGGACCGCGAGAUCGUGACCUGGCUGAAGUCGGACGCCUAACCGACUGCGCCACCCAGGCGCCCCGAGAAGCAAAAUAAUUAUUAAGAUUUUAUUGGUAAAAAAAGAUUUUAUUGGUUUGCAAAAACAAGUAAGUGAUUUUUAAGCUGAUUAUUGAUUUAGAGACUCUGUAAUACCAAGAUAAAGACCUAGAGAGGAAAACAGAAAUUCACAGAUACUCCAAAUCAUUCUUUUUAAUGAUUCGUUUCACUCUCUUUCUCCACUAUGCUUUAUCAAUGACUACAACACUGGUACUGAACUAUAAAGUGGCUAAAAUAAAUCAACCUCUUAUUAAUUGCUUGUUACAUGUUUGGUACUGUGUUAGGUACUGUGAACAUUUGCAGGAAUUAAGAGGCAUUGCCUUUGAUUACAGUUUCUAAUCUAGUUGCCCAAACAAAACCAAACAUAGCAAAGAAAAAAAUCAGGUGGCACAAUAAAGUAUCACUGGAGUUCAGACAACAUGUCAGUGUCCUACAGCAGUUAGGGAAGACUUCAGUGAAGAAGACUGAAAGAGUGUGAUGCUGCCGGGGGUGCCUUGUAGGAGAGUGGAAUAGUAGACAGAGUGGGAAGGGUACAUCAGGCAGGGGGCUUUGUAGACAGCCUAUGCAGAAGCCCAGAGGUAGGAAUAGAGGUGGGGUGUUUGAGGAACAUUGAGGAAAACUUCAUGGCUUGAGGAAAACUGGUGGCAAUGAGAGUAAUUAGUAAUUAGAAAUAACGUUGGGGCGCCUGGGUGGUUCAGUCAGUUAAACAUCUGACUUUGGCUCAGUUCAUGAUCUCACAGUUCAUGGGUUUGAGCCCUACAUCUGGCUCUGUGCUGACAGCUCAGAGCCUGGAGCCUGCUUCGGAUUCUGUGUCUUCCUCUCUCUCUGCCCCUCCCCCGCUCGUGCUGUCUGUCUCUCUCUCAAAUAAAAAUAAACAUUAAAAAACAAAUUAAAAAAGAAGAAACAAGGUUGGAUCUAUAGAUUAAAUUAUGAUGAGCCUUAAAAACCAUGCUGAAAAACCUUAACGUGUGCGACUGUUAUUCUAAAGUAGUAUAACAUACUUUCCUUUUCUGCCUUGAAGGAAUACGAGAGCGAUAAGCCCUACUCUCAUACUGUCUCACUGAAAGGGUUCAUAAGCCACUGUUCCCAGAGCUGACUUUAACCUAAUGCAGUGACACAUAUACAUAGGAUGGACUGCAGGACAAAAGUAGAGUUGGGAACCAGCAGAAGCUGCCGUGUUACUCUGGACGUGCGGCAGUGGAGGGUGUGGGCAGGAGUGGAAAAGGGGAGAAACUGAGGCACUUAGGAAGGAGAGACAGGACUUAGUGAUAAAAGGCAAAAGAAAUCAAGAAAACAAAAUGUAAAUGUUUAAGGUGUUUAGCUUAGAAGUGCACGGCUGGUGGUAUGAAAGGCAAGUGAAAAACCUGGAAAGCCAAUGUGAAGGAAAUGUUUACAUUUUAUUUAAUCCAUCCAUUAAUUCAUGUAGCAUAUACAUAUUGAGCGCCUACUAUUUACUGAGGAUAUAGUGUUGAGCAAAUAAAGACAUCAUUCCUAAUCUCAGGGAGUUCAUCGUCUAUGUGGGAAGAAAACAUUAUUCAAAUCAUCACACAAAUAUUAAAGGACAACUAUGAGAUUGGCUCAAAGAAGUGGCAUACAGUGGUAAGAGAGGCUAGAUUAAGGGACUAUGACCCAACUGAGGAGGUCAGGAAAGUUUAUGAGGAAAUAAAAGCUUGAGCUGACCUCUGAAAGGUAUACAGGAAGAGAAGGUAGAGGAAAAAACAUUCUGGGCAGAAGAAAUAGCAAGGAGUGUUUUCGAUGUUGAACUGGAGAUGAUGGCAGUAUAUUGAAACGAAAAAUACUCUUUGAUUCAAGUACAGGUGUUUAGAGACGGAGAUUUGAGCAUAUUUAGUGAAAAUUGGUAGUUGAGUGUAGGAGGUUGUAUGAAGGUAGAAGGGUAAAGGGCCGAGGCUAGAAAUAACCACAGCAGUGAAUAGGAGAACAAGGAAGAGGAUAGCCAAAAGAGAAGAGUUUAAAGAAUUUUAGGCUAAGUGGAAGAUGGAAGACUUUGAAAUAGUCUUUUGUCUCUGGGAGCCUUCCAAAGAGUCUUAUUUUAUUUUAUUUUUUUUUUUAUUUAGAGGGGGAGGUAGAAUCCAGACUAUAGCUACAGAAUGUCUGUCUCAUUGUGAGUUGACUUUUCUGUACUCCAAGAAACAACCAGAGUUCUAGGUCUCAAGUUCCAUACUAUGUUGUUUUCAAUACUGCAGAAACAAAGAAAUGUGAAUGAAAUCUUCACACCAAAGCAAUGAAGUUAAAUCUAGCUGCAAUGAAUGCUGUCUAAGCCUGUUGGAAUCUCAUAUCAGAGCUGGUUGAAGGGAAAAGAAGAUGGGAAUUGAAUAGUGAAAUGUGUGGUGAAGAUGAGAUUAAAUGAGAAAGCUCAAACCAGACUGGGGAGAGAUUAGAUGAUAAAUGGUCUACCAGGGCAAGCAGAGCAGUUAGGAAGUUCAUUAAGAGUUCAAUUGAUUGUAUGAUUGUGAAUCUAACAGUAUGCUAUUUUUGUGAUUGAACAAAGUCAAGGAGUAUAACAAAUAAACUGCACUCUUUAGUGCACCAGCAACCACACUGGCUAUAACUCAGGUACUAGUAGUAUCCAAAGUACAUUUUUAAAAAUUAAAUGUUUAUUUAUUUUGAGAGUGAGAGAGACAGCGCAUGUGCAAGCACAUGAAUGCAGGCGAGGGGCAGAGAGGAGGGAGGGAGAGAAUCCCAAGCAGGCUCCACAUUUAGCAUGGAGCCUGAUGUGGGGCUCAGCCUCAUGACAGGAUCAUGACCUGAUACCAAGAGUCAGACGCUUAACCAACUGAACCACCUAGGAACCCCCAAAGUAUAUUUUUCUCAUGCAUAAUUAUUAGACUAUUUAAUACAGUCAUAUUUUGAAUGGUUUUAUUCUGCUUUCAUAUGUGCCAACUUGAGGACAAGUUUUAGAAUUGGAGCAUGUGUCCUUACCUGCUGGCAAAUCAACCUACUAUGCUUUUUUUUUUUUUUUUUUUAAGAUUUUAUUUUUAUGUAAUCUCUACACCUAAUGUGGAGCUCAAACCCACAACCCUGAGAUCAAGAGUCACAUGCUCUACCAAUUGAGCCAGACAGGCACCCCCCCACUGUACUUUUUAUAAUCCUGUUCAGCUCACUUGCCAUUAGAGUAUUCAAUCAGUGAUAUGAUUACUUCCUGUUCUUAAACCAAACUUUCCAAAGUAUGAGGAGAAAUUUUCAUACUGGGUCCAUCACCAUUGGAUAAUUGUCCAUCACAUUGGAUAAUUUUUCUAUGUUCUGAGGUUCUUUUUGUGGGAAGGGAAUUUCUCUGGCCAUGUUUUUGGUCAGUACUCUGGUUCAGUCUUAAGCAUCACCAUUAAUAGCUAUUGGAGGAAUAUCAUCAUCAUGAUUAUUAGUUAAGCAUUCGACUCUUGAUCUUGGUAUCGACUCAGGUCAUGAUCUCACAGUUGAUAGGAUUAAGCCCCGAGUCAGGCUUUGCACUCUCAGCGUGAAGCCUGCUUGGGAUUCUCUCUCCCUGCCCCUCCUCUUUUCACGCACAUGUGUGCAUGCUCUCUCUCAAAUAAAUACUUAAAAAAAAAAGCACAGUUGAAAUAUGGGACAAGAGGAGACACUGCCUCAUUGUUAACUUUUAUCUACCACAGAAAAUAUAGCCAGAGCUCUAGGCCUUCAGUUCCAGACUAUGUUGUUGCUGAUGAUGGAGAAACAAAGGAAUUUGGGUAAGAGCUGUCUUGACAAGGUAAUGAAUGUGAGCCUGAUCACAGUGGUUGUGGUGGACAUUUUCUAUGUGCCAGAACUGAGUGGGAGUUGUAGGACAAGUCUAUUGUUCUGAACCAAGUUCCAUGUAUAUGUGGUUGUUGACAGGUCUGUCAUUUUGUUGUCAUUGCAGGGAUGACAGUAAGCUUCAAGAUCAAACCUUCAUCACUCAGCAAGUACCAAUCUCAGACUCUUCUGGUGAACUGAUGAUACCCAAUAUUCAGAAAGAAUCACAAGAGUCUGACAUA
rnacentral:lncRNA from 1 species